rnacentral:misc_RNA from 1 species
UGGGGCCAUCAGUUCAACCAUUCAGGAGAGUUUGCUGAUGAGGCGUGGGGAAGAACUUAUAAUCAGAGAAUCGAAUCGAAGACCCAAUAGAUAAAUUUGCCACAAAAUGAUUGGCAUUUGAUUUUGAAAAUCGAAAAUUUAGAAAAGAAAUUGUGGAGCUUUUCUUAGGGCAAAGAUUGGAGGGAAAAUGGAGAAAGGAAAGAAAUUGACGAGUGUGGGAAGAACGAGACGAGGGAUCGGCUGUGUUAGAAUCGCG